GCAAGUCGAGCGCUCACUUCGGUGGGAGCGGCAGACGGGUGAGUAACGCGUGGGAAUCUACCCAUCUCUACGGAACAACAGUUGGAAACGACUGCUAAUACCGUAUACGCCCUUCGGGGGAAAGAUUUAUCGGAGAUGGAUGAGCCCGCGUUGGAUUAGAUAGUUGGUGGGGUAACGGCCUACCAAGUCUACGAUCUAUAGCUGGUUUUAGAGGACGAUC
rnacentral:rRNA from 1 species